rnacentral:rRNA from 1 species
UACGGGGGGGGCAAGCGUUGUUCGGAAUUACUGGGCGUAAAGGGCUCGUAGGUGGCCAACUAAGUCAGACGUGAAAUCCCCAGGCUCAACCUGGGAACUGCGUCUGAUACUGGAUGGCUUGAAUUCGGGAGAGGGAUGCAGAAUUCCAGGUGUAGCGGUGAAAUGCGUAGAUAUCAGGAAGAACACCGAUGGCGAAAGCAGCUCUCUGGGACGGUACUGACGCUGAGGAGCGAAAGCGUGGGGAGCGAACAGG